rnacentral:rRNA from 1 species
CAAGUCGAACGGUAACAGGAAGCAGCUUGCUGUUUCGCUGACGAGUGGCGGACGGGUGAGUAAUGUCUGGGAAACUGCCUGAUGGAGGGGGAUAACUACUGGAAACGGUAGCUAAUACCGCAUAACGUCGCAAGACCAAAGAGGGGGACCUUCGGGCCUCUUGCCAUCGGAUGUGCCCAGAUGGGAUUAGCUAGUAGGUGGGGUAACGGCUCACCUAGGCGACGAUCCCUAGCUGGUCUGAGAGGAUGACCAGCCACACUGGAACUGAGACACGGUCCAGACUCCUACGGGAGGCAGCAGUGGGGAAUAUUGCACAAUGGGCGCAAGCCUGAUGCAGCCAUGCCGCGUGUAUGAAGAAGGCCUUCGGGUUGUAAAGUACUUUCAGCGGGGAGGAA